rnacentral:rRNA from 1 species
GCAAGUCGAGGGGAAGCAUUUGGAGCUUGCUGGAAGAUGGCGAUCGGCGCACGGGAGAGUAACGCGUAUGCAACCUACCUUACAUUGGGGGAUAGCCCAGAGAAAUCUGGAUUAAUACCGCAUAAUAUGUUUGAAUCGCAUGGUUUAAAUAGUAAAACUCCGGUGAUGUAAGAUGGGCAUGCGUAGCAUUAGUUAGUUGGUGAGGUAACGGCUCACCAAGACGAUGAUGCUUAGGGGGUCUGAGAGGAUAGUC